GGUUAAGCGACUAAGCGUACACGGUGGAUGCCCUGGCAGUCAGAGGCGAUGAAGGGCGUGCUAAUCUGCGAUAAGCGCCGGUAAGGUGAUAUGAACCGUUAUAACCGGCGAUACCCGAAUGGGGAAACCCAGUGUGACUCGUCACACUAUCAUUAACUGAAUCCAUAGGUUAAUGAGGCGAACCGGGGGAACUGAAACAUCUAAGUACCCCGAGGAAAAGAAAUCAACCGAGAUUCCCCCAGUAGCGGCGAGCGAACGGGGAGGAGCCCAGAGCCUGAAUCAGCAUGUGUGUUAGUGGAAGCGUCUGGAAAGGCGCGCGAUACAGGGUGACAGCCCCGUACACAAAAGCGCAUGUGCUGUGAGCUCGAUGAGUAGGGCGGGACACGUGGUAUCCUGUCUGAAUAUGGGGGGACCAUCCUCCAAGGCUAAAUACUCCUGACUGACCGAUAGUGAACCAGUACCGUGAGGGAAAGGCGAAAAGAACCCCGGCGAGGGGAGUGAAAAAGAACCUGAAACCGUGUACGUACAAGCAGUGGGAGCACCCUUUGGGUGUGACUGCGUACCUUUUGUAUAAUGGGUCAGCGACUUAUAUUCUGUAGCAAGGUUAACCGAAUAGGGGAGCCGGAGGGAAACCGAGUCUUAACCGGGCGUUAAGUUGCAGGGUAUAGACCCGAAACCCGGUGAUCUAGCCAUGGGCAGGUUGAAGGUUGGGUAACACUAACUGGAGGACCGAACCGACUAAUGUUGAAAAAUUAGCGGAUGACCUGUGGCUGGGGGUGAAAGGCCAAUCAAACCGGGAGAUAGCUGGUUCUCCCCGAAAGCUAUUUAGGUAGCGCCUCGUGAAUUCAUCUCCGGGGGUAGAGCACUGUUUCGGCUAGGGGGCCAUCCCGGCUUACCAACCCGAUGCAAACUGCGAAUACCGGAGAAUGUUAUCACGGGAGACACACGGCGGGUGCUAACGUCCGUCGUGAAGAGGGAAACAACCCAGACCGCCAGCUAAGGUCCCAAAGUCAUGGUUAAGUGGGAAACGAUGUGGGAAGGCCCAGACAGCCAGGAUGUUGGCUUAGAAGCAGCCAUCAUUUAAAGAAAGCGUAAUAGCUCACUGGUCGAGUCGGCCUGCGCGGAAGAUGUAACGGGGCUAAACCAUGCACCGAAGCUGCGGCAGCGACACUGUGUGUUGUUGGGUAGGGGAGCGUUCUGUAAGCCUGCGAAGGUGGCCUGUGAGGGUUGCUGGAGGUAUCAGAAGUGCGAAUGCUGACAUAAGUAACGAUAAAGCGGGUGAAAAGCCCGCUCGCCGGAAGACCAAGGGUUCCUGUCCAACGUUAAUCGGGGCAGGGUGAGUCGACCCCUAAGGCGAGGCCGAAAGGCGUAGUCGAUGGGAAACGGGUUAAUAUUCCCGUACUUGGUGUUACUGCGAAGGGGGACGGAGAAGGCUAUGUUGGCCGGGCGACGGUUGUCCCGGUUUAAGCGUGUAGGUGUGUGUUCCAGGUAAAUCCGGUUCACUUUAACACUGAGGCGUGACGACGAGGCACUACGGUGCUGAAGCAACAAAUGCCCUGCUUCCAGGAAAAGCCUCUAAGCAUCAGGUAACAUCAAAUCGUACCCCAAACCGACACAGGUGGUCAGGUAGAGAAUACCAAGGCGCUUGAGAGAACUCGGGUGAAGGAACUAGGCAAAAUGGUGCCGUAACUUCGGGAGAAGGCACGCUGACACGUAGGUGAAGUGAUUUACUCAUGGAGCUGAAGUCAGUCGAAGAUACCAGCUGGCUGCAACUGUUUAUUAAAAACACAGCACUGUGCAAACACGAAAGUGGACGUAUACGGUGUGACGCCUGCCCGGUGCCGGAAGGUUAAUUGAUGGGGUCAGCGCAAGCGAAGCUCCUGAUCGAAGCCCCGGUAAACGGCGGCCGUAACUAUAACGGUCCUAAGGUAGCGAAAUUCCUUGUCGGGUAAGUUCCGACCUGCACGAAUGGCGUAAUGAUGGCCAGGCUGUCUCCACCCGAGACUCAGUGAAAUUGAACUCGCUGUGAAGAUGCAGUGUACCCGCGGCAAGACGGAAAGACCCCGUGAACCUUUACUAUAGCUUGACACUGAACAUUGAGCCUUGAUGUGUAGGAUAGGUGGGAGGCUUUGAAGUGUGGACGCCAGUCUGCAUGGAGCCGACCUUGAAAUACCACCCUUUAAUGUUUGAUGUUCUAACGUGGACCCGUUACCCGGGUUGCGGACAGUGUCUGGUGGGUAGUUUGACUGGGGCGGUCUCCUCCUAAAGAGUAACGGAGGAGCACGAAGGUUGGCUAAUCCUGGUCGGACAUCAGGAGGUUAGUGCAAUGGCAUAAGCCAGCUUGACUGCGAGCGUGACGGCGCGAGCAGGUGCGAAAGCAGGUCAUAGUGAUCCGGUGGUUCUGAAUGGAAGGGCCAUCGCUCAACGGAUAAAAGGUACUCCGGGGAUAACAGGCUGAUACCGCCCAAGAGUUCAUAUCGACGGCGGUGUUUGGCACCUCGAUGUCGGCUCAUCACAUCCUGGGGCUGAAGUAGGUCCCAAGGGUAUGGCUGUUCGCCAUUUAAAGUGGUACGCGAGCUGGGUUUAGAACGUCGUGAGACAGUUCGGUCCCUAUCUGCCGUGGGCGCUGGAGAACUGAGGGGGGCUGCUCCUAGUACGAGAGGACCGGAGUGGACGCAUCACUGGUGUUCGGGUUGUCAUGCCAAUGGCACUGCCCGGUAGCUAAAUGCGGAAGAGAUAAGUGCUGAAAGCAUCUAAGCACGAAACUUGCCCCGAGAUGAGUUCUCCCUGAGACUUAGAGUCUCCUGAAGGAACGUUGAAGACGACGACGUUGAUAGGCCGGGUGUGUAAGCGCAGCGAUGCGUUGAGCUAACCGGUACUAAUGAACCGUGAGGCUUAACCUU
rnacentral:rRNA from 1 species